rnacentral:rRNA from 1 species
CCUACGGGAGACAGCAGUGAGGAAUAUUGGUCAAUGGGCGCGAGCCUGAACCAGCCAAGUAGCGUGAAGGAUGACUGCCCUACGGGUUGUAAACUUCUUUUAUAAAGGAAGAAAGUGAGGCACGUGUGCCUGGUUGUAUGGAGGUUAUGAAUAAGGAUCGGCUCACUCCGUGCAAGCAGCCGCGGUAAUACGGAGGAUCCGAGCGUUAUCCGGAUUUAGUGGGGUUACAGGGAGCGUAGAGGGGUUGUUAAGUCAGUUGUGAAAGUUUGCGGCUCAACCGUAAAAUUGCAAUUGAUACUGGCAGCCUUUCGUUCAGUUGAUGUAGGCGGCCUUCGUGGUGUAGCGGU